AUUGAACGCUGGCGGCAUGCCUUACACAUGCAAGUCGAACGGUAACAGGUUAAGCUGACGAGUGGCGAACGGGUGAGUAAUAUAUCGGAACGUGCCCAGUCGUGGGGGAUAACGUAGCGAAAGCUACGCUAAUACCGCAUACGAUCUACGGAUGAAAGCGGGGGAUCGCAAGACCUCGCGCGAUUGGAGUGGCCGAUAUCAUAUUAGGUUGUUGGUGAGGUAAAAGCUCACCAAGCCUGCGAUCUGUAGCUGGUCUGAGAGGACGACCAGCCACACUGGAACUGAGACACGGUCCAGACUCCUACGGGAGGCAGCAGUGGGGAAUUUUGGACAAUGGACGCAAGUCUGAUCCAGCAAUGCCGCGUGCAGGACGAAGGCCUUCGGGUUGUAAACUGCUUUUGUACGGAACGAAACGGUGAGCUCUAAUACAGUUUGCUAAUGACGGUACCGUAAGAAUAAGCACCGGCUAACUACGUGCCAGCCGCCGCAGUAA
rnacentral:rRNA from 1 species